UACCAGCACCCCGAGUGGUCGGGACGAUUAUUGGGCCUAAAGCAUCCGUAGCCGGUUCUACAAGUCUUCCGUUAAAUCCACCUGCUUAACAGAUGGGCUGCGGAGGAUACUAUAGAGCUAGGAGGCGGGAGAGGCAAGCGGUACUUAGUGGGUAGGGGUAAAAUCCGUUGAUCCAUUGAAGACCACCAGUGGCGAAGGCGGCUUGCCAGAGCGCACUCGACGGUGAGGGAUGAAAGCUGGGGGAGCAAAGCCGG
rnacentral:rRNA from 1 species